rnacentral:rRNA from 1 species
AAAGUCUAACCUGCCCUAUGAUUUAUUAUUAAAUGGCCGCGAUAUUUUGAUCGUGCAAAGGUAGCAUAAUAAUUAGUUUUUUAAUUGAGAACUGGUAUGAAUGGUUGAACGAGAAAAAAACUGUCUCAAUUUAAAUUAAAUUAAAAUUUUAUUUUUAAGUUAAAAAGCUUAAAUAUUUUUAAAAGACGAGAAGACCCUAUAGAGUUUUAUAUAGAUUUAUUAUUUUUAAAAAUUUUAGGAUUUUAAAUUUAAUUAUAAUAAUUAUUAUUUGAUUGGGGUGAUUAAAAAAUUAAAAUAACUUUUUUUAAAUUUUAACAUAAAUUUAUGAAUAGAUGAUCCA